rnacentral:tRNA from 1 species
GCCCGGGUGCUGAAACUGGUAGACAGAAGGGACUUAAAAUCCCUGGCUCGCAAGAGCGUGUCGGUUCGAGUCCGACCCCGGGCA